GAGCUUGCUCCCGGAUGUUAGCGGCGGACGGGUGAGUAACACGUGGGUAACCUGCCUGUAAGACUGGGAUAACUCCGGGAAACCGGAGCUAAUACCGGAUAGUUCCUUGAACCGCAUGGUUCAAGGAUGAAAGACGGUUUCGGCUGUCACUUACAGAUGGACCCGCGGCGCAUUAGCUAGUUGGUGGGGUAAUGGCUCACCAAGGCGACGAUGCGUAGCCGACCUGAGAGGGUGAUCGGCCACACUGGGACUGAGACACGGCCCAGACUCCUACGGGAGGCAGCAGUAGGGAAUCUUCCGCAAUGGACGAAAGUCUGACGGAGCAACGCCGCGUGAGUGAUGAAGGUUUUCGGAUCGUAAAGCUCUGUUGUUAGGGAAGAACAAGUGCGAGAGUAACUGCUCGCACCUUGACGGUACCUAACCAGAAAGCCACGGCUAACUACGUGCCAGCAGCCGCGGUAAUACGUAGGUGGCAAGCGUUGUCCGGAAUUAUUGGGCGUAAAGGGCUCGCAGGCGGUUUCUUAAGUCUGAUGUGAAAGCCCCCGGCUCAACCGGGGAGGGUCAUUGGAAACUGGGAAACUUGAGUGCAGAAGAGGAGAGUGGAAUUCCACGUGUAGCGGUGAAAUGCGUAGAGAUGUGGAGGAACACCAGUGGCGAAGGCGACUCUCUGGUCUGUAACUGACGCUGAGGAGCGAAAGCGUGGGGAGCGAACAGGAUUAGAUACCCUGGUAGUCCACGCCGUAAACGAUGAGUGCUA
rnacentral:rRNA from 1 species